AAAAGGUGCCCUUUGAAUAAACAGUCAAAGUGGGAGGACAAAUAUACCGGGGUUAGUAAGGCUGCAGCUAUUGGUACAAAUGUACUGCGACUUGCUCAGGAAUGGUAUAUAUCCCCUUCAGGUGCGGCGUACUUAAUUGUGCAUGUCCACAUAGUGCAUCAACACUUUGAUAAUGUAUUUCAGAGGUGUCCAUGCAUUUCGAACCAAUUCUGAUUGCACGUGUGCUGCAAAUACAUCAGCAAAACGAGUUGGAAAGUAAACUGCUGGAUGCUAUCUCUUGGUGUCAGUGUGUGAUCACAUAGUGGGUUCACUUGUUUCAUCAUAUUUCUCUAUGGUGUACAUCAGGAAUAUCUUUCAAGUGGCUGUACAGGUAUUUUUCAUGUAUGUUCGACAUGAAAUGGUUAAUGUAUGUGAUACUCAGCAUUCCUGAAGAGUUUUUGCAUCGAAUCCAGAUUCUGUAAACUUGACGGAACUCUAAGCAUUAAAAAUUCUUAAUUCACUUAGCAGCUGUAGACCUUUGAUGGUUAUGAAGAUGAAAGAAACGUGGUAAAGCUAAAUUCUUAUGGGACAGAAUUGGCACCUGAAGGGGAUAUAUUUGAAAGUAAUAGUUGCAUAUAAAGGAAGUGCAUGGAGAAAGAGCAAUGAGAACAAAAAUUUUGCUUACAUCCCCAAAGAGUAUGGACAGAAGAAGAGCAAUGAAAUCAAUCCAACAUUCUUUCACAUGUGCCAAUAGGCUAACUGCCAUUGUAUGUGAUCAGUGUCAUGCACUCAUAUUCCUAUCCCGAUUUAUGUGCCAAUUCAAUAAGUCAAACCUUUCUUUCCAGAGUGGAACGAGUUUUCAUGCUUCAGUGUUUGGACUGUGAAGAGGAAGAGGAAAGCGUGGAGAGGAAAGCGUGGAGAGGAAGACAAUGGACAAGAUGCUGAGAGAUGGAGAGGAGGAGACCGCUGUGGCUGGGACUGAAGCCUGCAACCUUGUGCUCGGCAGCAGAACGCCACAGCCGCUGAGCGAAUGCGGCUGGUACUGUGCUUCAGCUGCCUUCAUGCAAACAAGGCAGCAUAUCAAAGCAGACCAAAGUAGUACCUGGCUUUGCAGUUUCUCCACGAGAGAAACAUCCAUAUCUGGAUUCGACUGGAGCGCUGUGUUGGCAAAGUGCUUGAGCUUGA